UACGGAGGGUGCAAGCGUUAUCCGGAUUCACUGGGUUUAAAGGGUGCGUAGGCGGGCAGUUAAGUCAGUGGUGAAAUCUUCGAGCGCAACUCGGAAACUGCCAUUGAUACUAUCUGUCUUGAAUACUGUGGAGGUGAGCGGAAUAUGUCAUGUAGCGGUGAAAUGCUUAGAUAUGACAUAGAACACCGAUUGCGAAGGCAGCUCGCUACACAAAUAUUGACGCUGAGGCACGAAAGCGUGGGGAUCAAACAGG
rnacentral:rRNA from 1 species